rnacentral:piRNA from 1 species
UGCAAACACUACAGAGUCUG